ACCUGACUGCUAUCGGAUUGAUACUAAGCCAUGCGAGUCAUUGUAGUAAUACAAGGCAUACGGCUCAGUAACGCGUAGUCAACCUAACCUAUGGACGGGAAUAACCUCGGGAAACUGAGAAUAAUGCCCGAUAGAACAUUAUACCUGGAAUGGUUUAUGUUCCAAAUGAUUUAUCGCCAUAGGAUGGGACUGCGGCCUAUCAGUUUGUUGGUGAGGUAAUGGCCCACCAAGACUAUUACAGGUACGGGCUCUGAGAGGAGUAGCCCGGAGAUGGGUACUGAGACACGGACCCAGGCCCUAUGGGGCGCAGCAGGCGAGAAAACUUUGCAAUGUGCGAAAGCACGACGAGGUUAAUCCGAGUGAUUUCUGCUAAAGAGAUCUUUUGUUAGUCCUAGAAACACUAACGAAUAAGGGGUGGGCAAGUUCUGGUGUCAGCCGCCGCGGUAAAACCAGCACCUCAAGUGGUCGGGAUGAUUAUUGGGCCUAAAGCAUCCGUAGCCGGCUCUGUAAGUUUUCGGUUAAAUCUGUACGCUCAACGUACAGGCUGGCGGGAAUACUGCAGAACUAGGGAGUGGGAGAGGUAGACGGUACUCGGUAGGAAGUGGUAAAAUGCUUUGAUCUAUCGAUGACCACCUGUGGCGAAGGCGGUCUACCAGAACACGUCCGACGGUGAGGGAUGAAAGCUGGGGGAGCAAACCGGAUUAGAUACCCGGGUAGUCCCAGCUGUAAACUAUGCAAACUCAGUGAUGCAUUGGCUUGUGGCCAAUGCAGUGCUGCAGGGAAGCCGUUAAGUUUGCCGCCUGGGAAGUACGUACGCAAGUAUGAAACUUAAAGGAAUUGGCGGGGGAGCACCACAAGGGGUGAAGCCUGCGGUUCAAUUGGAUUCAACGCCGGG
rnacentral:rRNA from 1 species